rnacentral:rRNA from 1 species
UACGAAGGGGGCUAGCGUUGUUCGGAAUCACUGGGCGUAAAGGGCGCGUAGGCGGCUUUAUAAGUCGGGGGUGAAAGCCUGUGGCUCAACCACAGAAUUGCCUUCGAUACUGUAGAGCUUGAGACAGGAAGAGGUAAGUGGAACUGCGGGUGUAGAGGUGAAAUUCGUAGAUAUUCGCAAGAACACCAGUGGCGAAGGCGGCUUACUGGGCCGGAACUGACGCUGAGGCGCGAAAGCGUGGGGAGCAAACAGG